CCUACGGGAGGCAGCAGUGAGGAAUAUUGGUCAAUGGGCUUACGCCUGAACCAGCCAAGUCGCGUGAGGGAAGACUGCCCUAUGGGUUGUAAACCUCUUUUGUCAGGGAGCAACGCCGGCUACGUGUAGCCGGACUGAGAGUACCUGAAGAAAAAGCAUCGGCUAACUCCGUGCCAGCAGCCGCGGUAAUACGGAGGAUGCGAGCGUUAUCCGGAUUUAUUGGGUUUAAAGGGUGCGUAGGCGGACUGGAAAGUCAGCGGUAAAAUCGAGAGGCUCAACCUCUUUCCGCCGUUGAAACUGUCGGUCUUGAGUGGGCGAGAAGUAUGCGGAAUGCGUGGUGUAGCGGUGAAAUGCAUAGAUAUCACGCAGAACUCCGAUUGCGAAGGCAGCAUACCGGCGCCCGACUGACGCUGAGGCACGAAAGCGUGGGUAUCGAACAGGAUUAGAUACCCGUGUAGUC
rnacentral:rRNA from 1 species